rnacentral:pre_miRNA from 1 species
GUAUGUUUGUGGAUGUUGUUCAGAACCAAUGACAAGUAUGCAUAUUUGUGUGAAUGUUGUUUAGCACCAAGGACAGGUCUGUAUAGUU